rnacentral:rRNA from 1 species
GAUUAAGUGUCGUAAGGGCAUUUGGUGGAUGCCUUGGCAUGCACAGGCGAUGAAGGACGUGAUACGCUGCGAUAAGCCGUGGGGAGCUGCGAAUAAGCUUUGAUCCAUGGAUUUCCGAAUGGGGAAACCCACCUUAAAUGCUUAGAAAAUCCAAACUGUCAGUGAUGACGGCUUGGGUUUCUAAGCAUUGUUAAUAAGGUAUCUUAUCCUGAAUACAUAGGGGUAAGAAGCGAACUCGGGGAACUGAAACAUCUAAGUACCCGAAGGAAAGGACAUCAACCGAGACUCCGCAAGUAGUGGCGAGCGAACGCGGACCAGGCCAGUGGCAAUGAGGAAUAAAGCGGAACAAGUUGGAAAGCUUGGCCAUAGUGGGUGACAGCCCCGUACGCGUAGAACACUCAUUGUCCUAGAGUAGGGCGGGACACGUGAAAUCCUGUUCGAACAUGGGGAGACCACUCUCCAAGCCUAAGUACUCGUGCAUGACCGAUAGCGAACAAGUACCGUGAGGGAAAGGUGAAAAGCACCCCGACAAGGGGAGUGAAAUAGAACCUGAAACCGGAUGCCUACAAACAGUAGGAGGGCGAAAGCCUGACUGCGUACCUUUUGUAUAAUGGGUCAACGACUUAGUGUAACUAGCAAGCUUAAGCCGGUAGGUGUAGGCGCAGCGAAAGCGAGUGUUAAUAGCGCGAUUGAGUUAGUUGCAUUAGACCCGAAACCGAGUGAUCUAGCCAUGAGCAGGUUGAAGGUUGGGUAACACCAACUGGAGGACCGAACCCGCAUCUGUUGCAAUAGAUUGGGAUGACUUGUGGUUAGGGGUGAAAGGCCAAUCAAACUCGGAAAUAGCUGGUUCUCCGCGAAAACUAUUUAGGUAGUGCGUCGAUCGAAUACCUCAGGGGGUAGAGCACUGGAUGGGCUAUGGGGACUCACCGUCUUACUGAUCCUAACCAAACUCCGAAUACCUGAGAGUACUAAUCGGCAGACACACGGCGGGUGCUAACGUCCGUCGUGAAGAGGGCAACAACCCUGACCUCCAGCUAAGGUCCCCAAGUCAUGGCUAAGUGGGAAAGGAUGUGAGGAUCCCAAAACAACCAGGAUGUUGGCUUAGAAGCAGCCAUCAUUUAAAGAAAGCGUAACAGCUCACUGGUCUAAAUAAGGGUCUUUGCGCCGAAAAUGUAACGGGGCUAAAGCCAUGCACCGAAGCUGAGGAUGUGCAGUAAUGCACGUGGUAGCGGAGCGUUCCGUAAGCCUGUGAAGGGACAGUCGUGAGACAUCCUGGAGGUAUCGGAAGUGCGAAUGUUGACAUGAGUAACGAUAAAGGGGGUGAGAGACCCCCNNNNNNNNNNNNNNNNNNNNNNNNNNNNNNNNNNNNNNNNNNNNNNNNNNNNNNNNNNNNNNNNNNNNNNNNNNNNNNNNNNNNNNNNNNNNNNNNNNNACCCCCUCGCCGAAAGACCAAGGGUUCCUGCUUAAAGUUAAUCUGAGCAGGGUUAGCCGGCCCCUAAGGCGAGGCAGAAAUGCGUAGUCGAUGGGAACCACGUUAAUAUUCGUGGGCCUGGUGGUAGUGACGGAUCACACAAAUUGUACAGUCUUAUUGGAUUGAUUGUGCAGUGGAGUGGUUCCAGGAAAUAGCUCCACCGUAUAGACCGUACCCGAAACCGACACAGGUGGUCAGGUAGAGUAUACCAAGGCGCUUGAGAGAACUAUGUUGAAGGAACUCGGCAAAUUGCACGCGUAACUUCGGAAGAAGCGUGACCCCUUUUUACGCAAGUGGAGAGGGGUGGCACAGACCAGGGGGUAGCGACUGUUUAUCAAAAACACAGGGCUCUGCGAAGUCGCAAGACGACGUAUAGGGUCUGACGCCUGCCCGGUGCUGGAAGGUUAAGAGGAGAGGUGCAAGCUUUGAAUCGAAGCCCCAGUAAACGGCGGCCGUAACUAUAACGGUCCUAAGGUAGCGAAAUUCCUUGUCGGGUAAGUUCCGACCUGCACGAAUGGCGUAACGACUUCCCCGCUGUCUCCAACAUAGACUCAGUGAAAUUGAAUUCCCCGUGAAGAUGCGGGGUUCCUGCGGUCAGACGGAAAGACCCCGUGCACCUUUACUAUAGCUUUACACUGGCAUUCGUGUCGGCAUGUGUAGGAUAGGUGGUAGGCUUUGAAGCUUGGACGCCAGUUCGAGUGGAGCCAUCCUUGAAAUACCACCCUUAUCGUCAUGGAUGUCUAACCGCGGUCCGUUAUCCGGAUCCGGGACAGUGUAUGGUGGGUAGUUUGACUGGGGCGGUCGCCUCCGAAAGAGUAACGGAGGCGCGCGAUGGUGGGCUCAGACCGGUCGGAAAUCGGUCGUCGAGUGCAAUGGCAUAAGCCCGCCUGACUGCGAGACUGACAAGUCGAGCAGAGACGAAAGUCGGUCAUAGUGAUCCGGUGGUCCCGCGUGGAAGGGCCAUCGCUCAACGGAUAAAAGGUACGCCGGGGAUAACAGGCUGAUGACCCCCAAGAGUCCAUAUCGACGGGGUUGUUUGGCACCUCGAUGUCGGCUCAUCGCAUCCUGGGGCUGGAGCAGGUCCCAAGGGUUUGGCUGUUCGCCAAUUAAAGCGGUACGUGAGCUGGGUUCAGAACGUCGUGAGACAGUUCGGUCCCUAUCUGCCGUGGGUGUAGGAAUAUUGACAGGAUCUGUCCCUAGUACGAGAGGACCGGGAUGGACAUAUCUCUGGUGGACCUGUUGUCGUGCCAACGGCAUAGCAGGGUAGCUAUAUAUGGAAUGGAUAACCGCUGAAGGCAUCUAAGCGGGAAACCAACCUGAAAACGAGUAUUCCCUAUCAGAGCCGUGGAAGACGACCACGUUGAUAGGACGGGUGUGGAAGCAGGGUAACCUGCGAAGCUUACCGUUACUAAUAGCUCGAUUGGCUUAAUCGUUCUCAUU